AUGGGGCUGCUGCGGGGGUUCUCGGUGGGGGCCGUGAUGAAGCGGAUGUGCAAGGCGGUGCUGAAGAAGGGGCUCGGGGAUCUGUUCCUCGGCGAGCUCGACCUCGACCAGCUCGACCUGCAGCUCACCCGCGGCACGCUCGAGCUCACCGACCUCGCGCUCAACGCCGACUACAUCAACAGCCAGCUAUCAGGAUUAUCUAUCAUGGUGAAAGAAGGAUCAAUAAAAUCUCUGCUGGUUAAAUUUCCUCUACAGUUAAAGAGUUGUGAGAUCGUAGUGGAAGACUUGGAGCUCGUGCUCGCUCCAUCCGUUGCUAGUGAAAUUCCACCUGUAGAUGCUGAAUGCUCUGUUUCUGGUAAUAGUAGUUCCACACAGACAUCAGUCAACACCAAAAGAAAUGAAUCUGAGAAACACUGUUCUACAUCUGCAUCUCGAGAUGUGGAUGAGGGUGUCAAGAGAAUAGCCAAUGCUGUCAAGUGGUUUCUUACAAACUUCAAAAUCAAGUUUAAAAAUACAUAUGUUGUAUUUGAUCCUCAGACCAUUUUGGAUAGCAAGAUCUCAGAAUUUAAUCGAUCGCUAGUUUUCCGGGUUAAAGAGAUAGAAUUUGGAACUAAUCUUUCAACAGAUGGUCUUGUCAAGCUGAAUAAUUUCGUAACGUUCCAUGAGGCGGUGAUCGAGUUCUUGAAAAUGGAUGAUGUUGAUGUACUUCUUCAGAAUGAUUUGGAUAAGGCAACAGCUGACAUCUCAUCAGGUCAUAGUACUACCUCGGUCUUGACAGGUCCUAUUGGUGGAUUCUCAGGGACAUUGAACUUAAGCAUCCCGUGGAGUAAUGGAUGCUUGAACCUUAAGAAAAUCGACGCGGAUGUAUCUAUUGAUUCAUUAGAAUUGCUGUUACAAAUCAGCAGUAUCCAGUGGUUCAUGGAUGUGUGGGAUUCUCUCCAUAGGAAUCAAGCACGUGAACAGAUUCGUCCCCAUAAUACGGCAGAUAUGUCCUUGAGCACCUCCAGAUCUGCCUUAAGCACUUUGAAAUCAGGUUCAGACUCAGUGACGAUCCGGAGGGAAGACACAGACCAGAUUGCACUUUCACAAAACAGGCAAGACAAAUAUCAGGAUUCUUUCCUAACUAAGGCACAUGUUAUUCAAGACUGGAUUCCGGAGCUCGUUGUCCACGAGGAUCAAGGUGACCCUGAUUCAGAUUGUGACGAAAGCAUUGAUCAGUUCUUUGAAUGUUUUGAAGAACUGAGGAACUCCCAGACUAAUUUAGGAAAUAGCGGCAUAUGGGACUGGACGUGUUCAGUAUUCAACGCAAUUACUUUUGCAUCCACUUUAGCUUCUGGAUCAGAUCAAGUCCCUAAAGAACCGCCGAUUGAGAAAACGUUACGGGCUUCCAUCGCUGAGAUAUCUGUUAUUCUCUUGUUCAGUGAUGAAAUGGAUACUGGCGAUUCCAGUGUUCCUGUCAGUCUCGCCAAUGAUAUGAGAAAUUCCGAAAUGUUCUCGAGCUGCCUUUCCUCCCCCCCGCAGUUUGAACAAUCGAUGAUGUAUCCUGCUACUGCUUCCAGCUUAAAUAUGCAUCAUCUUGAAGCCAAGUGUCAGAACAUUCAUCUUGAACUCGAGACAUAUCCCAAAAAAUUAGGGUUCAAGGCAUUGAUUGCUCACAUGAAGCUUGACGAAUACUACAGUACUAACCAUGAUUCAAAUCACCCACACCUUGGCACUGCUUUCUUAAAUAAUAAUUUCUGUAGAGAAGUUCAAGCUGCUCUCCCUCAAUUCCCAUGUGCUGCUCAAGAUUAUUGGGUGGAAACAGCUGGAAGCUCUUCCCGCCGUUCAGAAAAAUUCAUUAAGGUUGAGCUGCUAAAAACAUUUGGUGAGUCCAAAUUCCAUUAUGAUGUCAGUAGCACAGAUCAAGAUGGCAACUCAGUAAGCACAACUUCACUGUCUAUAUAUUUGGCUCCUUUGACUUUGUGGGUGCACUUCCAUACAGUAUACAUGAUACUGAAUUUUAUGAGUAAAGUCGAGUCUGAUGUGUUUCAUGGAGAGCAUAGACUUAAUAGGGAUGGGGACGAAAGAAACAGCAAACUGGCUAAUACUUCCUCAAGCGACUCUCUGAAGGUUCAAAUAGCUCCAUCACAUGCAAGAAUCGUCUUUUGCUUUCCUUCUGAGCCCUCAUGGGAUUUAAGUCGCCCGUCCAUCCUGGAUAAGUUCCUUGUCAUCGACCACACAACAUCUCAUAACUCAGCAGAAGCCUCUUCCCCACUUCGAAAUGAAAGGUUUAAUGAUGUUCAUCCAAGCACACAAUCUACUUCACUCCAUUUGGCUACCGGGAACUUUGACAUCUACUUGGUUAAACCCUCCAGUGCAUUGGAUGGUAUAUGUGCUUUGAGUAGGCAAACUUUCUCUGCUCUGAAGAUUUUAUCUGUGACUAGAUCCGAUUAUAAUGACUCCAGCAUUAGAAUGAUCCGAAAAAACCACCCUGUAACUUGCCCUGAGAUGGUGAACAAAGUUUGGAGUUUGCCGAGCCUACAUGAUCAGAAGAUUACUCAGAAAGAAAAUAACAAAUGGGUCGGCGUUGCCUCUUCUACAACUUCACAAGAUCUUGUAGAGUCAAGUGUCAGUAUUCGCCAGGAACUCAUUCGGAGCACUGAAUUCUUGCUACAUGUUCAACUUCCUCAUGUUUCGGUUCAUCUCAAUAAGAAGGAUUGUGGACUACUUAAUCAGCUGCUAGAUCACGUACUCAAUGGGCUUUCAGAUGGAGCACCAGGCAGUUCUGAAAAUGGCAAGGACAAAAACAACGAAAUUGCCAUUCAAACAUCUGUCAUUUUUGAAUGCAGCAUGUUGGAUAUUUGUACUGAGUUGGAUGAAACUGUGGAAGUUGGUCCAUCGUUGCAGACAGAACUAGAAGGUUCUUGGAAUCAUCUCAAGUUAUCUGUUUCAAAAUUGUCUCUGUGCUCCUUCUCUAAUGUUGGUGGGGUCAACAAUACCAGUUUUCUUUGGGUGAAUCAUGGUGAAGGUGAGCUUUGGGGUUCGGUUACCGGUACAGAUGAUAAAACCUGUGAAGAAAGCAAAGAUUUUCUUCUAGUUAUUUGCAAGGAUUCCGCUAGCAGGCGGGGUGAUGGUGAAGGUAACAAUGUAUUGUCUUUUGGUACUGCUGGAUGUUCCGUGACCCACAUCAGGAACCCAAACCUACAAGAGAAUUAUACUUCUGUCAAUGUUCGUUCUGGGACAAUUGUGGCACCUGGUGGACGUAUGGAUUGGAUCAGUGGAAUAUCUUCGCUGUUCACUUCAGGUUCAAGUGGAACUGAACAAUCCAAUAACAGUAGUAGCACAAAUAAUUCACAGGCUGGUGAACCAUUUUGGUCCUCUUUUUUUCUUGAGUUAACCGAUGUUGCUCUGAGCUAUGAACCUCACCUGAAAAAUUCCUCAUUCAAUGCUGACGCUCCGGACUGCAAGUUUUUCUCAUGCCUUUUAGCUGCAUCAUCAUUUAAACUUCACAAUAAAUCUGCAUCAGAUUCUGCAGCUACUGAUUUUGAUAUCCAACUGCGAGAUCUCGGGCUUCUCAUUUGUGAAUCGUCUGGUUCCAAAAAUGUCACUUGUGGUUAUGAUGUUGAUUACCUUCGUCAAUUGGGCUAUGCUAAGAUUGGCCAUAACACAUUCAUUGAAGCUGCUCUAAGAACUGAUACUUCCUUUUGGAAACUUGCAAUAUCCGAGUCACAAUUUGAUAUUGGGACAUGUCGUGAUACAACACAUGGUCUUGUUCGUUUGGUUUCCCAACUACAAAAGCUAUAUGCUCCGGAUAUGCGGGACGCUUUAGCUCAUCUUCAAUCUAGGUGGAAUAUUGUCCAACAGGCAAACGCACAAAAUAUGCCCAGUGAUGCAUCAGAUAUGUCAGAGAGCACUGACAACUUGGCAGAUUCUGGAGAGUGCAAGUCAGAUGGUCUGCUUGAUGACAUAAUUGAGGAUGCUUUUUACACUGACCAGGCCUACACAGACUACAAUUUUUGGGACAAAAAUUGUCAUAACUCAUUGAGCAGCAGUGAAAUGAACGCUGAAUAUGAGAUGAAUAUGGCUAACCCUGAGGCAGCUGAUGUCGGUGUUUCACACAUAGUCACCCCAGAAGCGAAUACUGCCCAAAUACCAAUUAAGCAGAAUUCCUGUCCUGAGCAGAUCAUUGACUCUUAUUAUAUGCCUGAUCUUCUCAAUUCAUCAUUGUCAUCAUCUCCUUGUAAUGUAAACCAUCAGUCAUCUGGUGAUGAUGCUCGUAAAACCAUGGACUGUGAUGAUGGUGGAUGGUACAACAAUAGCCCCUUGACGAUAGUUGAAAACCAUGUUUACAAAAGGAACUGCCCACAUGGAGAACAUGUGUUCCAACAAGAAGGCAAGCCUGCUGUUUGCAGCUUGAAUUCUGAUGAAUCUUGCAAUCUGAAAGGCAAGAUUCUUAUUCAUGAUAUAGAUGUUAAGUGGCGAAUGUAUGCUGGUGAUGACUGGCCAUUGGCUCACAAUGAUUCAACUAGCCACCCAUGCUCAAAUGGAAGGGAUAGGAGUUCUUCUUUGGAAUUCAUCGUGUCAGGACUCGGUGUGCAAUUUGAUAUGUAUCCAGAUGGGGCCGUUUCUGUUUCUAGGUUAUCCAUCUCCGCACAGGACCUAAAUCUUUGUGACCAAAAUAUGCAUGCUCCAUGGAAAAUGGUUCUUGGAUGCUACAACUCAAAGGAUUACCCAAGAGAAUCUUGCUCAACUGCAUUCAAGUUAGAACUAGAGUCUGUAAGACCUGAACCACAGGCUCCUCUAGAAGACUACAGGUUAUGCCUUGAGAUUUUGCCUCUUCAAUUGCAUCUUGAUCAAGGGCAACUGAACUUCCUCAUCAGUUUCUUCCAGAAUGACUCAAGUAACAACAACCCUCAUGUGCCUUGUGAAAAUGAGAUUGUUGGUAUGGACAGCACAACCUACGGAAGCACUACAAUUGUGGAUGAGGCAUUACUUCCCUUUUUCCAGAAAUUCGAUGUGAAGCCUCUGGUUCUGCAUAUCAAUUAUAUUCCUCGCCAGUUUGAUCCUAUUGCACUAGGUAAAGGAAAUUACGCAGAGCUUCUCAACAUCCUUCCAUGGAAGGGAAUCGAUUUAAAGCUUAAGAAUGUUUCUGCAAUGGGUGUUUAUGGGUGGAAUAGUAUAUGUGAAACAGUAGCUGCAGAGUGGCUGGAGGACAUCUCGAAGAAUCAGGUCCAUAAAGUGUUAAAAGGACUUCCUCCUAUAAAGUCAUUAGUUGCCGUCGGUUCAGGCACUAAGAAAUUGGUUUCCUUACCAAUCAAAAGCUACAAGAAGGACCGGAAGUUGCUCAAGGGAAUGCAAAGAGGUGCUGUUGCUUUCAUCAGAAGUGUAUCCAUCGAAGCUGUAGGCCUUGGUGUCCAUUUGGCAGCGGGAGCUCAUGAUAUGCUUUUGAAGACAGAGCGUGCCCUUACAGCUGUUCCACCGCCUUUAACCUCACGUGAAGCAAAAAAACCCAAAGAAAAUAUAAGAGCUAACCAGCCUGAAGGUGCACAACAAGGGUUGAAGCAGGCCUAUGAAAGUUUAACUGAUGGGCUUGGAAGGACAGCUUCUGCUUUGAUUGGGAAUCCUAUCAAGGUUUAUAAUCGUGGGGGUAGCACUGGAUCAAUACUGGCUACUGCAAUCUGUGGAGCUCCAGCUGCUGCAGUAGCUCCAGUAUCAGCUUCCGCUCGUGCUAUGCACUAUGCACUUCUUGGGUUAAGGAACAGCCUUGAUCCUGAACACAAGAAAGAAUCUGCGUACAAAUACUCUGGGCCUUCUCAAUCGUAG
rnacentral:rRNA from 1 species